rnacentral:rRNA from 1 species
CAUCUAGAUUGCGGAUCCGCGGCCGCAGAGUUUGAUCCUGGGCUCAGAUUGAACGCUAGCGGGAUGCUUUACACAUGCAAGUCGAACGGCAGCACGAAGAAAGCUUGCUUUCUUUGGUGGCGAGUGGCGAACGGGUGAGUAAUGUAUCGGAACGUACCCAGUAGCGGGGGAUAACUACGCGAAAGCGUGGCUAAUACCGCAUACGCCCUACGGGGGAAAGGGGGGGAUCGCAAGACCUCUCACUAUUGGAGCGGCCGAUAUCGGAUUAGCUAGUUGGUGGGGUAAAGGCCCACCAAGGCAACGAUCCGUAGCUGGUUUGAGAGGACGGCCAGCCACACUGGGACUGAGACACGGCCCAGACUCCUACGGGAGGCAGCAGUGGGGAAUUUUGGACAAUGGGGGCAACCCUGAUCCAGCCAUCCCGCGUGUGCGAUGAAGGCCUUCGGGGUGUGAAAGCACUUUUCGGCAGGGAAGAAACGGCGCUGACUAAUACUUGGCGCAACUGACGGUACCUGCAGAAUAAGCACCGGCUAACUACGUGCCAGCAGCCGCGGUAAUACGUAGGGUGCAAGCGUUAAUCGGAAUUACUGGGGCGUAAAGCGUGCGCAGGCGGUUCGGAAAAAAAAGAUGUGAAAUCCCAGAGCUUAACUUUGGAAUGGCAUUUUUAACUACCCGGGCUAGAGAUAUGUCAGA